CGGACGGGUGAGUAACGCGUGAGAAUCUGCCCUCAGGAGGGGGAUAACGGUUGGAAACGACCGCUAAUACCCCAUAUGCCUAUUGGUGAAAUGAAUUUCGCCUGAGGAUGAGCUCGCGUCUGAUUAGCUAGUUGGUGGGGUAAUGGCUUACCAAGGCUUCGAUCAGUAGCUGGUCUGAGAGGAUGAUCAGCCACACUGGGACUGAGACACGGCCCAGACUCCUACGGGAGGCAGCAGUGGGGAAUUUUCCGCAAUGGGCGAAAGCCUGACGGAGCAACGCCGCGUGAGGGACGAAGGCCUCUGGGCUGUAAACCUCUUUUCUCAAGGAAGAAGAUAUGACGGUACUUGAGGAAUAAGCCACGGCUAAUUCCGUGCCAGCAGCCGCGGUAAUACGGGAGUGGCAAGCGUUAUCCGGAAUUAUUGGGCGUAAAGCGUCCGCAGGCGGCUUUUCAAGUCUGCUGUUAAAGCGUGGAGCUUAACUCCAUCAUGGCAGUGGAAACUGAAAGGCUUGAGUAUGGUAGGGGCAGAGGGAAUUCCCGGUGUAGCGGUGAAAUGCGUAGAUAUCGGGAAGAACACCAGUGGCGAAGGCGCUCUGCUGGGCCAUUACUGACGCUCAUGGACGAAAGCCAGGGGAGCGAAUGGGAUUAGAUACCCCAGUAGUC
rnacentral:rRNA from 1 species